CAUUCUAGGAAGGAAGCGAGGCCCUACCACUAUGUGACUUGAGUGUCUCGCUCUUGAAAGCUUUGAAAAUGCCUGUGAACACACCCAAAUGAGGGAUUCCAAAAGAAUUUAGGGGGCUGACUCCACAAAGGCAGAAUAGAAUAUAGAUUCUCAGUUACCCAGUGACCAUCAAUAAUGAUGCAGGAGAAAACAAAGAUCUUAGCCUUGGUCCCCCAUGAUCGGACUGGGUAACUUCCAUAAGUUUCACCUGUAUGGUACACUCUGACUCUGCAACCAGAACUCUGCACACUGGAGACAAGACAAUUAUAGUGAAAAGAAUGACAUCCAUCUGAAUUAUGUCUCAGUAAAUAAAAUCGUUUCAGUUUCCCAAGCUCUUAAUCUACAGAAGAUACUACGCUAAGUACAUUGCAUUCCUUAUCCUGUUCAAGACUCUCCAAAACCCUAAGAGAGAAUUCUCAGAUUCAAAACCCUAGGGCUUCCCUGGUGGCGCAGUGGUUGAGAGUCCGCCUGCCGAUGCAGGGAACACGGGUUCGUGCCCCGGUCCGGGAAGAUCCCACAUGCCGCGGAGUGGCUGGGCCCGUGAGCCAUGGCCGCUGAGCCUGAGCGUCCGGAGCCUGUGCUCCGCAACGGGAGAGGCCACAACAGUGAGAGGCCCGUGUACCGCAAAGAAAAAAAUAAAUAAAUAAAA